GACGAACGCUGGCGGCGUGCUUAACACAUGCAAGUCGAACGGAAAGGCCCCCAUCUUGGUGGGGGUGCUCGAGUGGCGAACGGGUGAGUAACACGUGGGUGAUCUGCCCUGUACUUCGGGAUAAGCUUGGGAAACUGGGUCUAAUACCGGAUAGGACCAUGGUUUAGUGUCUCCUGGAGGAAAGAUUAUUGUUUUGGUGCAGGAUGAGCUCGCGGCCUAUCAGCUUGUUGGUGGGGUAAUGGCCUACCAAGGCGUCGACGGGUAGCCGGCCUGAGAGGGUGGACGGACACAUUGGGACUGGGACACGGCCCAGACUCCUACGGGAGGCAGCAGUGGGGAAUAGUGCACAAUGGGCGCAAGCCUGAUGCAGCGACGCCGCGUGGGGGAUGACGGCCUUCGGGUGGUAAACUCCUUUCGUUAGGGACGAAGCCACGCUUCUUGGGUGUGGUGACGGUACCUUUGUUAAGAAGCACCGGCUAACUACGUG
rnacentral:rRNA from 1 species